UACGGAGGGUGCAAGCGUUACUCGGAAUUACUGGGCGUAAAGCGCACGCAGGUGGCUGAGAAAGUCGAUUGUGAAAGCCCUGGGCUUAACCUGGGAAUUGCAGUCGAAACUACUCGGCUAGAGUAUGGGAGAGGGUAGUGGAAUUCCCGGUGUAGCGGUGAAAUGCGUAGAUAUCAGGAGGAACACCGGCGGCGAAGGCGGCACUCUGGGCCGGUACUGACGCUGAGGAGCGAAAGCGUGGGUAGCAAACAGG
rnacentral:rRNA from 1 species